rnacentral:lncRNA from 1 species
GGGAAUCAGGCUCAGUGGUUAAGCAUCCCUGGGUUCAAUCCCUGGUACUAAAAAUAAAUAAUUUUUUAAAUGAAAAAAAAGAGAGAGAGAAUUUUACAUUUCUGUAGAGUUGUAAAUUGACCUAGAGUUAGCUUGAGGCAGGGAAACCUCUGGUGCCAUCAUGUGGCUAAUAGAAAAGCUCUGACUCACUUCUUCCCUCACCUGUUUCAGCUUGGAGUGGUAGAUAGAGGUGAAAGUAGUUGAAGAUUAUCCAAAAGACAGGAAGAUGCAUGCUCUUGUACACACACACACACACACACACACACGUUCCUCAUGAGAAAAAGUGCUAACAAAAAGUUACAAAAGCUCUACAAAGAAAAAUUUUCCCCAGAAGUUGCUGACCUGCCAAAUCAUUCUGUUUCUUCAAACAAGGAAUAAUCACAGAACCACAAAAACCAGGAAAUUAGCAUUGAUAUA